rnacentral:rRNA from 1 species
CUCCUACGGGUGGCUGCAGUAACGAAUAUUGGACAAUGGGCGCAAGCCUGAUCCAGCGACGCCGCGUGUAGGAAGAAGUCCCUCGGGAUGUAAACUACUGUCAGGGACCACCAAGCGAGGGAGGCUAAUAUCCUCCCGAGUUGAGGAAUCCCAGAGGAAGUCACGGCUAACUUCGUGCCAGCAGCCGCGGUAAUACGAAGGUGGCGAACGUUGUUCGGAAUCACUGGGCUUAAAGAGCACGUAGGCGGACUGUCAAGCGUCUUGUGAAAGCCCUCGGCUCAACCGAGGAAUGGCUUGGCGAACUGGCAGUCUUGAGGCAGGUAGGGGCAACUGGAACUCAUGGUGGAGCGGUGGAAUGCGUAGAUAUCAUGAGGAACGCCGGAGGCGAAGGCGAGUUGCUGGGCCUGUCCUGACGCUGAGGUGCGAAAGCCAGGGUAGCAAACGGGAUUAGAUACCCCGGUAGUCCUGGCCUUAAACGAUGUCCACUAGGUCGGAGGCACUCUGACGUGUUUCUGGCCGAAAUGAGAACGGUAAGUGGACCGCCUGGGGAGUACGGUCGCAAGGCUAAAACUCAAAGGAAUUGACGGGGGCUCACACAAGCGGUGGAG